rnacentral:rRNA from 1 species
CACGGGGGGAACGCGAAGAACCUUACCUACCCUUGACAUGCCAGGAAGCUUGCUGAGAGGCGAGUGUGCCCGAAAGGGAGCCUGGACACAGGUGCUGCAUGGCUGUCGUCAGCUCGUGUCGUGAGAUGUUGGGUUAAGUCCCGCGACGAGCGCAACCCUUGUCACUAGUUGCUACGAAAGGGCACUCUAGUGAGACUGCCGGUGACAAACCGGAGGAAGGUGGGGAUGACGUCAAGUCCUCAUGGCCCUUAUGGAUAGGGCUUCACACGUCAUACAAUGGCGCAUACAGAGGGCUGCCAACCCGCGAGGGGGAGCCAAUCCCAGAAAGUGCGUCGUAGUCCGGAUUGCAGUCUGCAACUCGACUGCAUGAAGUCGGAAUCGCUAGUAAUCGCGGAUCAGCAAUGUCGCGGUGAAUACGUUCCCGGGUCUUGUACACACGC